rnacentral:sRNA from 1 species
AACAAAACACGUUGCGAAAACAAGUAGCAAGAAAUCCGAAAAAGACACUAAAAUCAAGAAACAAAAGAUAUACGAACUAAAAAGUCAAAGACACAAGUUACAAAAUUCAAACGUAAAAUCAAAAGUACAAAGCAAAAAGAUUGUUGGCAACAUUUUUAUAAGUAUAUAUACGUAUUAUUAUGAUUUGUAUAUAUUUUUUAUACGAACUCAAAACAACGGAGCCAGAAGCUCGAUUUUGAUACGCAGAAUUGCUCACGUGAUGCUCCGACUCCUACGACGGGUUACACCAUAUCGAGAAGUUAUCCAAUGAGAAAGCCGCUUAAAUUUUGUCUGAGUCCGGUCUUGGACUAAUGAAACGCCUUUGUGCCAGAGUGGACUUCAUUUUUUAAUUAGAAAGUCAACACACCCGCACACACAGACAUACGUGCAUGAGCCCGAGAAUCCUUAAUCGAAAAGUGCUGCCAUAUGGAGAGGCGCCUUUGUAAGGACGGCAGGACUCCAUCCCCUCAGCUCUGUGCUUGUUUGCUUUUGUUUAUUUGUGUGCUACUUAAGAUGAAAUGGCAAAGAAAACUGACGUUGGAUGCCAGAUGCCAGAAAGAGACGAACAAAUGGGCGAAUGAGCUGGCCCGUGUCCGUUUCAAUUUCUCCUACCAAGUCAGUCCUGGUCCUUCACGCAGACAUUUUCUUUGAGUUUCCUCCUUGCUGCUGCCGCUGCUCCUGAUUCUACUCCUGCCGCUGCUGCAGCUAAAAAUAAAAAAUUGAAAGAAAAAGGCAAACAGACUACUAGUCUGAGUUAGAGGAACGAGUGCAACAGCAACGGCCGAGGCAGAGACAGCGGCAGCGGCGGAAACGGAAAUUGCUGAAGUUGCAUGUGUAUGUCCUCCUACAUAUAUACGCGUACUUAUGUGUGUGUAAUGAUGCGCCGUGUUAUCCUUUUGCUGACAGCAGACGCCGCUAGUUGUUGCAUUUACAAGCAGGCUGCAAUUAUUUUCAGCUUAGGCGACAAAAUAGAAGGAAGCAAGUCUUAAGCAUUUUCCAUUUCCCAGACUCGUUAUUAUCCAGCUCGAUGCCACAUAAAUGAGUUUGUUGCUGUUCCUACUUCUAUGCUUAGAUGUUUCUUUUUUAUUAUGCUGGCAUAUACUAAAUAUACCCAUAUCAUAAAAGAGAUUCAAAUAUAA